rnacentral:lncRNA from 1 species
GGAAACUCCUGUAUUUCUGAUAUAACUUAGUGUACAUUAUCAGUAAUAGUCAUAAGUGUUGUUAAAAUUAUUGUGUGUCACAGAGGUAACACAUUUCCUUGUCAAUUGUGUCUUUUAACUGUGGCUGCCUUAAAACUUUUUUCAUCCACAGACAAUUCUCUUGUUUAUCUUGUUUUAAACCCCUUUAAAAGGUGGGUUUAUAAUCAGUUAUAGGACUCUAACAGGUGCACUUAAAUGCAGUUUUGCUGAUAACUUUGGAAACUGUGACAUUGGAAUAAAGGAAUAAACUUUCAGAACUCUCAUGGAGAGCUGAAAUGUUUAUGACUAUCAAACAGAACAGGAGUUAACUGAAUUAACUGAACCAAUAGAAAACUAAUCUUUUUGACCUUUUUGCUUAAAACAUUGCUAAUACUUUGUUUUGUUUUUUAGAAUUAUGAAAACUAAAGCUAUUUACAGCUUUUAACAAUUGAGUAAAGUAUACUGUUACCAGAAUUGGGAGCAUAUUUGUUUCUCUCUACCUGGUUUCUCCAGAAUUUGGAAACUAUUUAGUCACUGAAAACUAAGCUGUGUUUUCUUAAAACCCUGCAAACUGAAGCCAGACAACUUGAACUUCAGAAGAAAAUAACAGCAACCUAUUUACGUACAUAAGCCACUUUCAUACCUGCCUACUAAUGUAUGGACUUCAGAGUAAUGUGGCUUAUAUCGAUUUUUCUAGGAUUGUUCUUUUGUUUGUUGUUGUUUUUUCUCCCUUCCUCCCUGCUAUUUUCUCUUCACAGAAUGUGAGACUUCACAACCUACUAAAAAUGAGCUUUUGGGACUUACCCAUCUAGGAAUAAACCAUCAUAGCUAUGAGAAAUCAGAUGAAGCCUGAGACCAGAGACUCAUUUUUUUGCAAAAUGCUUUCUCCGACAGAUUUUACAAAAGAAAAGUGGUGGGGGGCAGGCACAGUGGCUCACACCUGUAAUCCCAGCACUUUGGGAGGCCGAGGUGGGUGGAUUACCUGAGGUCAGGAGUUUAAGACCAACCUGACCAACAUGGUGAAACCCCGUCUCUAUGAAAAAUACAAAAAUUAGCCAGGCAUGGUGGUGGGCACCUGUAGUCCCAGCUACUCGGGAG